AACGAACGCUGGCGGCAUGCCUAACACAUGCAAGUCGAACGAAGGCUUCGGCCUUAGUGGCGCACGGGUGAGUAACGCGUGGGAACCUGCCCUUUGGUACGGAAUAACAUCGGGAAACUGAUGCUAAUACCGUAUAUGGCUUUGGCUGAAAGAUUUAUCGCCGAAGGAGGGGCCCGCGUCUGAUUAGCUAGUUGGUGAGGUAAUGGCUCACCAAGGCGACGAUCAGUAGCUGGUCUGAGAGGAUGAUCAGCCACACUGGGACUGAGACACGGCCCAGACUCCUACGGGAGGCAGCAGUGGGGAAUAUUGGACAAUGGGGGCAACCCUGAUCCAGCAAUGCCGCGUGAGUGAUGAAGGCCUUCGGGUUGUAAAGCUCUUUUGGCAGGGACGAUGAUGACGGUACCUGCAGAAUAAGCCCCGGCUAACUUCGUGCCAGCAGCCGCAGUAAUAC
rnacentral:rRNA from 1 species